GAACAAUGGAAUGGAUGUGAUACACCAUGGCAACCCGACAUGACCCAGAAGAACCAGGAGGAGCCUCAAGCUUCAGUGGACCUGGAGAAACUGUCAGGUUCCCUCCUGCAGAACCUCCACCUAAAACUAUGACCAGGGCCCAGCUCGGCUCUGCAAGGACCCAGCCCCGCUUCCAGGCCUGACCAAGUGCUGCUGGUUAGGAAAGAAGAGAAGAGAAGAUGCGGGGCACCGCCCCCACCAAGAAGCCCUCCACGGGGGAAGGCUGACUACGGCCGCAAUUGGGAUCUCAGCUCUCCGCCCUCUGCCCCCCUUCUUCCACCCACCUCCCGCCUUUCCCGCCUGGUGCCGCUGGCAGAACGGGAACUGUGACUCAAGAGUCUGGAAGACAAGGGGCCUGCCCCCCCUUCCCUCCCCCUUCCCUCCCCCGUCCCUCCCUCCACAUCCGGGCAGGCGUCUGGGCGGGUGGCCGGGCAGGAGCCAGCCUUGGCUGCCACCGAGGACCCUCCCACCUGACGUUCAUCUGGGCUCCGGCCAAGGGCAUCCUCCCGGCGGGGCAGACGCUCCACGUGGAUUCCUACUGGCGGCGGCAGGAACAAGAGCGGCCGCCCCAACCAUGAGACCCUGCCCGCCGCGUGCAGGGACUGUCCCC
rnacentral:lncRNA from 1 species